GCAAGUCGAGCGCAUUCUUCGGAGUGAGCGGCGGACGGGUUAGUAACGCGUGGGAACGUGCCCUUCUCUAAGGAAUAGCCACUGGAAACGGUGAGUAAUACCUCAUACGCCCUUCGGGGGAAAGAUUUAUCGGAGAAGGAUCGGCCCGCGUUAGAUUAGAUAGUUGGUGGGGUAAUGGCCUACCAAGGCAACGAUCUAUAGCUGGUCUGAGAGGACGAUC
rnacentral:rRNA from 1 species